rnacentral:rRNA from 1 species
UACGAAGGGGGCUAGCGUUGCUCGGAUUUACCGGGCGUAAAGGGCGCGUAGGCGGACAGUUUAGUCAGAGGUGAAAGCCCAGGGCUCAACCUUGGAAUUGCCUUUGAUACUGGCUGUCUUGAGUACGGGAGAGGUGAGUGGAACUCCGAGUGUAGAGGUGAAAUUCGUAGAUAUUCGCAAGAACACCAGUGGCGAAGGCGGCUCACUGGCCCGAUACUGACGCUGAGGUGCGAAAGCGUGGGGAGCAAACAGGG